rnacentral:rRNA from 1 species
GUGGGGGAUUUUGGACAAUGGGCGCAAGCCUGAUCCAGCAAUGCCGCGUGCAGGAAGAAGGCCUUCGGGUUGUAAACUGCUUUUGUACGGAACGAAACGGUCCGGGUUAAUACCCUGGGCUAAUGACGGUACCGUAAGAAUAAGCACCGGCUAACUACGUGCCAGCAGCCGCGGUAAUACGUAGGGUGCAAGCGUUAAUCGGAAUUACUGGGCGUAAAGCGUGCGCAGGCGGUUUUGUAAGACAGGCGUGAAAUCCCCGGGCUCAACCUGGGAAUUGCGCUUGUGACUGCAAGGCUGGAGUGCGGCAGAGGGGGAUGGAAUUCCGCGUGUAGCAGUGAAAUGCGUAGAUAUGCGGAGGAACACCGAUGGCGAAGGCAAUCCCCUGGACCUGUACUGACGCUCAUGCACGAAAGCGUGGGGAGCAAACAGGAUUAGAUACCCCGGUAGUCC